AAAACUAGGCUCACACCUCCCUUGGCCCUGCACACGCCCCCCUCCUCCCGGGGCUCUUAGGCACGCCUGGUGGCCACCUGCCCACUGUCGGCAUGCUGCGUGUGCGGGCCGCACCCCCUGUCGCUGCGUGCUGGUGCCCCUCGCUGACCAGAAGCGCGUACCCAGCCAGCUCUGAAACCUGAGGAGGCGGGAACUUUUAAGAGACCCCCCGCCCCCCCGACCCAGCCAUACAUGCAUACAUUGCUGCCCCUUCUCCACCCCAUGGUGGGAGCAAAUCCUCCAGGCUCUGAGCUGCCCCUGUGGGUCCCAGGAGCCACCCUGUGGAAUUCCAGCUAGCACUCAGCUCCUCACCAUCGCUGCAGGCUCGGGCUCAGCACCCCCACACAGGCCAUCUUCCCCAGCCCCAGCUGGACACAGAGAACCUUGCUCGCAGCCCAGUUGUCUCCUGUCUUUUCUGCGCUUCACGGAUGGCAUCACCAACAAGCUGGUGGCCUGCUAUGUGGAGGAGGACAUGCAGGACUGCGUGCUGGUCCGGGUGUAUGGGGAG
rnacentral:lncRNA from 10 species